rnacentral:snRNA from 1 species
AUACCUUUCUCGGCCUUAUGGCUAAGAUCAAGUGUAGUAUCUGUUCUUAUCAGUUUAAUAUCUAAUAUGUGGGCCAUGUGUCCACUUCGAUAUUAAAUUUAUUUUUUUUGGGGAGGGUCCACCACAGUGGCUUGCCACUGGGGCCCUCACGCGUUGCACUGCUGCCCGGGCCUGGCGCACCCCAA